GUUAUGUCUCAAGUUCCUGGUAUUCCUGAGAAGCAGUCCCUUCUCAGCACUCCCGCUAGGUCCGGUACUCCCGCCCAAGGAGCUGAUGUCACUAGUCCAUCUUCCCUGAGGUCAUGGACUAUCCCACGCCUCACAGCUGAACUACGAAGGAGAUGCAUUCCUUUCCCAGCUACUGCUAGGAAAGCGGAGUUGUUUAGACUUUUGAACACUAACAACUCUGAUGCAGGGAAAGGUCCAAGUGGGUCUCAGUUGCCGGCUCUUUAUGCCAUGAUGACGUCUUUAAUGUCAUCCAUUGCCACUAUUAGCGACAGACUGGAGAAAUCGGAAGCAGUAUGUUCUCCCCAGGUUCCUGCAAACUCAGUUACUGAUAAUGCAGGAAUGGCUGUCAUGUCCGGUAAUACUCUUGCAUCAAUUAAAGUCCCUGAAAGUAUCAACCCCUAGCACAUGGUCCCAG